CGUUUAAAUAUUUCAAGAGUAAUGAUCAUUGAUCUAGAUGCUCACCAAGGAAAUGGUCAUGAAAAAGACUUUGGCGGUGAUGGAAGGGUUUACACUUUGGACAUGUACAAUUCUGGAAUAUAUCCUUUUGUAAGUACUUAACCCUGUUAACCCUGAAACGGUUCCUACAUCUAUCACCAUGAUACCUCCUUCCUGAGGCUGUUCAUUAACUUAUUAUAAAGUAUAAAUAACAAAUGUGUACUGCUGUUUGAUAUUUAGCUAAUCUCUGCACCCCCCCCCUCCCUUCUGAAUUUCUUGUUUUUUUUUCUUGCUGAUAGUGCAUAUAUUUCAUUCUGAGAAAUAUAAAUUAUUAUCAUGGGAUUUUGUCUACCACAUAUGGCAUACCAAGUUCUGCAUCCUGCAGGGCACUGGAACUUAAUACUUGUAAGUUGUACGACAUAAGAACAGGACAGCUAGCUUUGUCUGUGUGACUGACAUUGAUAAUUCUGUAUCUUUCAAGUCAGUCUUCUGCAUUGCAAUUAACUCCAAACUGAAGUUAAAUGUUCAUUUGUAAUAAACAAAAAAUGCUAUAUUAAUUCCCUGAACUUUUACAUUGCAUCUGGUCUCAGCCUGAACUGCAAAAUUGAGAAUUGUGCUUCAUAGUUCCUAUACCCUAAACUUUCCCCCGUUAGUGGUGCAAGAGAGUUGGGAGAGCGGG